rnacentral:rRNA from 1 species
GAUGAACGCUGGCGGCGUGCCUAAUACAUGCCAGUCGAGCGAACAGACGAGGAGCUUGCUCCUCUGACGUUAGCGGCGGACGGGUGAGUAACACGUGGAUAACCUACCUAUAAGACUGGGAUAACUUCGGGAAACCGGAGCUAAUACCGGAUAACAUGUUGAACCGCAUGGUUCAACAGUGAAAGACGGUCUUGCUGUCACUUAUAGAUGGAUCCGCGCCGCAUUAGCUAGUUGGUAAGGUAACGGCUUACCAAGGCAACGAUGCGUAGCCGACCUGAGAGGGUGAUAGGCCACACUGGAACUGAGACACGGUCCAGACUCCGACGGGAGGCAGCAGUAGGGAAUCUUCCGCAAUGGGCGAAAGCCUGACGGAGCAACGCCGCGUGAGUGAAGAAGGUCUUCGGAUCGUAAAACUCUGUUAUUAGGGAAGAACAAAUGUGUAAGUAACUAUGCACGUCUUGACGGUACCUAAUCAGAAAGCCACGGCUAACUACGUG